rnacentral:lncRNA from 1 species
CACCCCCUUCUCAUUUUCAUUAGUUUCUCUGGUGCAAUUGGGAAUUGCAUUUUGCUUUGAAUUACACAUACAGCCCUUUCCCUUUUCCUUCCUUCUUUCUUUCUUCCUUUGUUUGUUUAUGUUUCUCUUUCUUCUUUUCAUUCUUUCUUUCUUUCUCUCUUUCUCUUUUUCUUUCUUCCUUCCACGCUUUCUCUUUUUCUCUUUCUUUCUUCCUCCUCUUCCUUCCUUUUAUUCUUUCUCUCAUUUUCUCUUUCUCCAUUCCUUCCUUCCUCUUUCUUUUUCAUUCUUUCUUCCUUUAUUUGUUUAUAUUUCUCUUUCUUCUUUUCAUUCUUUCUCUUUCUUUCUCUUUCUUCCUUCCUUCCUUCCAUUCUUUCUCCUUUUUCUUUCUCUUUCUUUCUUCCUUCUAUUCUUUCUCUUUUUCCCUUUCUCCUUUCCUUCCUUCCUCUCUCAUUCUUUCUUCCUCUCUUUUUCUUUCUCUCUUUCUUCAUUUGUUUGUUUCUCUUUCUUCUUUUCAUUCUUUCUCUUUCGUUCUCUAUUACUCUUUUUCUUCUUUCCUUCUAUUCUUUCUCUCUUUUUCUCUUUCUCCUUUCCUUCUUUCCUCUCUCAUUCUUUCUUCCUCUCUUUUCUUCCUUCCUUCCUUCAUUUGUUUAUGUUUCUCUUUCUUCCUUUCAUUCUUUCUCUUUCUUUCUCUAGUUCUUACUUUCUUUCCUCCUCAUUCUUCCUUCCUUCCAUUCUUUCUCUUUUUCUUUCUUCCUUCCUUCUAUUCUUUCUCUCUUUUUCUCUUCCUUCCUUUCUUUUUUCCUUCCUUCCAUCCUUCCUUCCUUCCUUCCUUCCUUGUUCCUUCCUUUUUUUCUUCUUAUAAUCAUUACAAUUCAUAUCCUGAAUGACUAACAAUACAAUACAAAAAUCUGCACGGUCCUAGACUACUAUAUCUGCAGACAUAUAGGGUCCAAAAAGGAGGGUGGAGCCUAACAAUCCUUUAUUCUGGAGGUGGCUUGAUGACCUUUUGGUUGAGUCACAGUAUAAGUGGAAAGGUCAGUUGCCUUGUUGCUUUUUUCCCUAGUAGAUAUUAG